rnacentral:rRNA from 1 species
GACGAACGCUGGCGGCGUGCCUAAUACAUGCAAGUAGAACGCUGAAGAGAGGAGCUUGCUCUUCUUGGAUGAGUUGCGAACGGGUGAGUAACGCGUAGGUAACCUGCCUUGUAGCGGGGGAUAACUAUUGGAAACGAUAGCUAAUACCGCAUAACAAUGGAUGACACAUGUCAUUUAUUUGAAAGGGGCAAUUGCUCCACUACAAGAUGGACCUGCGUUGUAUUAGCUAGUAGGUGAGGUAACGGCUCACCUAGGCGACGAUACAUAGCCGACCUGAGAGGGUGAUCGGCCACACUGGGACUGAGACACGGCCCAGACUCCUACGGGAGGCAGCAGUAGGGAAUCUUCGGCAAUGGGGGCAACCCUGACCGAGCAACGCCGCGUGAGUGAAGAAGGUUUUCGGAUCGUAAAGCUCUGUUGUAAGUCAAGAACGAGUGUGAGAGUGGAAUGUUCACACUGUGACGGUAGCUUACCAGAAAGGGACGGCUAACUACGUG